UGAGCCACCAGGGAACUCCCCAAAUGAAAGAGUUUUCAAUCCUACAAUUCCUCAAUGAUUAAGCUUGGUAAUACUUACUGAAUCUUAUCAAAUGCCCCAAGAGUGUUAAGCACUCUUCCUUCUACCCGCUCUUUCACGCUCCAAGGUAGGCGGCGUGCACAGCACCACGACCUGUCCUACUGGAACAUUCUUUGGUCGAGCCCGACGCCCGUUACUGCCGAGCCCCGCCCAAACCACGCCCCCAUGCUGGCCGUCGGGCCCGGGGACAGUGUCCGUUGUCGGCGGGACAAUCCAGACUGUCCCCUCUCGUGAGAAUCUAAGGAUUCCAACUGGCUUGAAGAGUGUGUCCCCCGGUCCCUAGGAGCCGGCGAACGCCGGGCCCCGCCCCCUCGAUACGCAGGCUCAGUGCGAGCUCGCCACGCUCGCACCCGUCGGACGCUACAUGUCGCUGGCGGGGUCGCGGCGGAGGGAGGCCGGGCGGCUGCUGCCAGAGAGGACCGUGUCUGCAACUGGAGCCAAGAAAGUGAAGAUGGCCACCAAAUCAUGCCCGGAAUGCGACCAACAGGUUCCUGUUGCAUGUAAAUCUUGUCCCUGUGGUUAUGUAUUUAUUAAGAGGAAACCUCUAAAAAUAAAACACUCAGAGAAGUCAUCACCUUUUACAGAUGAGAAGUUUCUUCUAAGGAUGCGCAAAGAAAGUGGUUUCUGGAGAUGGAAUGUGUUCCUUCCUGGUCAAAAUGCUAUGAAGAUUGUUGAAAUGACAACAAGUAAUUUAGAAUAUUAUAUAAACUUAGUUAAGCGGAGGCAGAGUUUGAAAGGAUUGAAUCCAGUUUUGGAAAGAAGUUCUACUAUGAGUAAAAUGUUAUCAAACAACAUUGCAUGCUACAGAGAAAUUGUUCAUAAAGGAAGAGUCAACUGAUGUAGCAAACUUCUUUUUUGGCCUAUUUUAAAAAAUUGCCACAGCCACCCCAACCCUCAGCAACCACCACCCUGUUCAGUCAGCAGCCAUCAACAUCAACAGGCAAGACCUUCCACCAGCAAACAGAGAAUGACUGAAGGCUCAGAGGAUGGUUAGCAUUUUUUAGCAAUAAAGUAUUUUUUAAUUAAGGUGUAUACAUUUUUUUAUCCAUAAUACUAUUUAUUGCACACUUAAUAAGCUGCAGUGUAAUAUAAACAUAACUUUGUAAACAUGUACUGAGAAACCCAAAAACUCUUGUGAUUUGUUUUCUUGCAAUAUUCAUUAAUGCUGUGGUCUGGAACCAAACCAAUAUUUCUGAGGUAUGCCUGUAUACAAACUGUAAAUAUAAAAUUAUUUUACAGAAAAGCUCAUCUAUAACAGCAAAAUGGAAGAUUAAACACUUAGGAAUAAAUUUAAUAAGGUACAAAGCCUAUACAAGGAAAUUUUAAAAUACCCUUGAAAGGUACUAAAGUGGAUUUAAACAAAUGGUAAAACAUGAAGUUGUCAGUCUUCUCUAAGCCAAUUCAUAAAACCAGUGCAACCCUAAUAAAAAUUCUAACAAGUUAUUUUACUGAGUUAGACAAACUGAUUUUAAAGUUCACAUGGAAAAACAAAUGUGCAAAAAAUAGCCAGAAAAAUUGUCAAUUGACUUAAAAUAGGGUCCUUAAGGAAAUUAAAUGGUAAAGAAAGUCUUUUCAACGAAUAAUGUUAGUAUAUCCUGUUGGAUAUCUACAUGUGGAAGAAUGAAGUUGUGUCUCUAUUUCACAAUAUAUACAAAAAUAAAUUCAAAGAAGAUCACAAGCCUAAAUAUAAGAGCUAAUCAAACUGUACAGUUCUUCAAGAAAAACAUAGAAGUUUUUGUGACCUUAGGCCUUGAAUUCUUAAAUAUGACCCCAAAAGCGCAAGUGACAAAACAAAAAAUAAAUUGGACUAUCGGAAAAUUCAGAACUUUUUUUUUCUUUUUGCUGCAAAUGAUAUCAUCAAAAGUGAAAAGACAACUCACGGAAUGGGAAAAACUAUGUGCAAAACACAUUUCCGAUGAAGGACUUGUUUCCAGAUAUAAAGAAGUAAAAUAGUAAAAAGAGAAAUAACCUGAUUUAAAAAAUGGGUAUAUUGGAGUUCCCACUGUGUCGCAAGGGAGAUUGGUGGCGUCUUGGGAAUGGUGGGAUGCAGGUUCCAUCCCCAGCCCGGCACAGUGAGUUAGGAUCCCUGUUGCCACAGAUUUGGGCAGGUCACAACUGCAGUUCGGGUCUGAUCCCCAGCCCAGGAACUCCAUAUGCUGAGGGGCAGCCAAAAAAAAAAAAAAAAAAAAAAAAAAGAAAAAGAAAAGAAAAAAAAUAAAAGGUAUAGUUGAAGACUAUUGUGAUGGGGCUUUUUCUGUAAACCUGCAUUGUUGGAAACACCUCAGAGUAACAAAGAGCUACAUGUUAGGUCUGUGGGAAAGAACUACAAAAAAAAAAAAAAAAGAACUGCUGAGUAAACUAUGGAAAACCUAACAGUCAAAUCUUUUUUUUAAAUCUUAGGUAUUGGCAUAUUCCCAAGGAUCUGUACUGUUCUAGGGUGUGAUAGAUUAGGAGUGAAUAUGAUUUGAACUUAAUGCAUGUUUAGAAGAUGUCUAAAAUUCAGAACCAGGCGGAUCCAUCUCUUCUGACCCUAAAGGUAAUCUUAUGUAAAGCGAACUGCUUGAGUAAAUUGGGUCCCAAAGGUAGGAAAGUUUGAAGUGUGUCCAUAUUCCGUUUGAGAUCAAAGAAGGCUGACUAAAAGAACUGUGGGCUACUUUUGAAGAUAACGACUCAAAAGUUGGAAUGACUCAAAAACACUGGAGAAAGCAGUGGAAAGAGAAUACUUAAAAGUUUAUUGACUUGGAGUUCCUGUCGAGGUGCAGCGGAAACGAAUCCGACUAGGAACCAUGAGGUUGCGGGUU